GAUGAAGAACGUAGCGAAAUGCGAUAAGUAGUGUGAAUUGCAGAAUUCCGUGAAUCAUCGAAUCUUUGAACGCACAUUGCGCCUUCUGGUAUUCCGGAAGGCAUGCCUGUUCGAGAGUCAUUAACAACCGUUUCGAUCCCUUUCUUUCAGAAAUUACAAAGAGGAAAAGGGUUUGGUUAUGGUGGAGGAGGGAAAGGGAGCGUUUAGCCUGUCAAAAAAGAGGCUGUGUUCCGCCUCCCCCCCAAAAUUGUACAGGCGGUCGUGUGCGCCCACGCAUCGAGGUGUUGUAAAAGCUGCCACGGCACUUUUCACCUGUGCAGUGCGAGAUUGGCCAGCCGGUUUAAAAACCCCUCCAAACAAUCAAAGGUUGACCUCGGAUCAGGUAGGGAUACCCGCUGAACUUAAGCAUAUCAAUAAGCGGAGGA
rnacentral:misc_RNA from 1 species